AUUGAACGCUGGCGGCAUGCUUUACACAUGCAAGUCGAACGGAAACAGGCCUUCGGGCGCUGACGAGUGGCGAACGGGUGAGUAAUGCAUCGGAACGUGCCCAGUCGUGGGGGAUAACGCAGCGAAAGCUGUGCUAAUACCGCAUACGAUCUGCGGAUGAAAGCGGGGGACCUUCGGGCCUCGCGCGAUUGGAGCGGCCGAUGUCAGAUUAGGUAGUUGGUGGGGUAAAGGCUCACCAAGCCAACGAUCUGUAGCUGGUCUGAGAGGACGACCAGCCACACUGGGACUGAGACACGGCCCAGACUCCUACGGGAGGCAGCAGUGGGGAAUAUUGGACAAUGGGCGAGAGCCUGAUCCAGCCAUGCCACGUGCAGGAUGAAGGCCUUCGGGUUGUAAACUGCUUUUGUACGGAGCGAAAAGGCUCUCUCUAAUACAGGGGGCUCAUGACGGUACCGUAAGAAUAAGCACCGGCUAACUACGUGCCAGCCGCCGCCGUAACAC
rnacentral:rRNA from 1 species